rnacentral:rRNA from 1 species
UCCCUGAGUAAAGUGGCGUACGGGUGAGUAACACGUGGGUAAUCCACCCUUUAGUGGGGAAUAACCCUGGGAAACCGGGGCUAAUACCGCAUAAGCCUGAGAAGGGAAAGCAGCAAUGCACUGAAGGAGGAGCCCGCGGCCGAUUAGCUAGUUGGUGAGGUAACGGCCCACCAAGGCGAUGAUCGGUAGCCGGCCUGGGAGGGCACACGGCCACACUGGCACUGAAACACGGGCCAG